rfam:Nitrobacter sp. Nb-311A 1099473104515, whole genome shotgun sequence.
AGGGGAUAGGCAGACUCCCCGAUCAGACGGUUUCCGUCCAAACUCUGC